GUGCCAGCCGCCGCGGUAAUACGGAGGGUGCAAGCGUUAAUCGGAAUUACUGGGCGUAAAGCGCACGCAGGCGGUCUGUCAAGUCGGAUGUGAAAUCCCCGGGCUCAACCUGGGAACUGCAUUCGAAACUGGCAGGCUAGAGUCUUGUAGAGGGGGGUAGAAUUCCAGGUGUAGCGGUGAAAUGCGUAGAGAUCUGGAGGAAUACCGGGUGGCGAAGGCGGCCCCCUGGACAAAGACUGACGCUCAGGUGCGAAAGCGUGGGGAGCAAACAGGAUUAGAUACCCUGGUAGUCCACGCCGUAAACGAUGUCGACUUGGAGGUUGUGCCCUUGAGGCGUGGCUUCCGGAGCUAACGCGUUAAGUCGACCGCCUGGGGAGUACGGCCGCAAGGUUAAACUCAAAUGAAUUGACGGGGCCCGCACAAGCGGUGGAGCAUGUGGUUUAAUUCGAUGCAACGCGAAGAACCUUACCUACUCUUGACAUCCAGAGAACUUAGCAGAGAUGCUUUGGUGUCC
rnacentral:rRNA from 1 species